AUGUUUUCUUGUUCCUACGAAAGCUGAAACUCUACCGUAGUACCGUCACUUCAACAUUUCUAGCUCUUUUGUUCUCCGAUACAGUUGGAUGUCAAAGCUGGAUGUCAGAAGUUGAUAUAAUCAUUGCAGAAGCUGAAAACAUUUUGGAGUGCCUGAGCAGACCCCAUUUAAUUAGUUUUAGAACCCAGGCUCAACUUACUAUACAAGCUUCCAUUGCUGCAACAGAUGGUACUGCUUGUGAAACGCCAACUCAGUAGACAAAAGACCUCUAAUGUAACAUGAUGAGACUUUGUCUUCAUCAGUAAACAAAGAGAAGCUGCCUGUGUAGCGCUGAGGCUUGCACUUUGCUGUUUACAGGCAUGCUCCGUUGGUAUUCUUGCUAAGAUGCCUUUGUGGAAAUCUGGUCUUGAGCACCGACGGGGUACUGGUCUAGGAAUUGGGUCUUACCUAAACACUC